CCCCUUAGAGUUUGAUCCUGGCUCAAACGAACGCUGGCGGCGUGGAUAAGACAUGCAAGUCGAACGGGACAUUGUGAGUAGCAAUACAAGCAAUGUCUAGUGGCGAACGGGUGCGUAACACGUGGAUACAUUCCGGGAAGCGGGGGAUAGCCCAGGGAAACUUGGAUUAAUACCGCAUGUGAUCGAGAGAUCAAAGACGGGGACCGCAAGGCCUGUCACUUCCCGAUUGGUCCGCGGCCUAUCAGCUAGUUGGCGGGGUAAAAGCCCACCAAGGCUACGAGGGGUAGCUGGUCUUAGAGGACGACCAGCCACACUGGAACUGAGACACGGUCCAGACACCUACGGGUGGCAGCAGUCGAGAAUCUUUCACAAUGGGGGCAACCCUGAUGGAGCGACGCCGCGUGGAAGAUAAGGUCUUCGGAUUGUAAACUCCUGUCAUGUGAAAACAAGGCUGCCGGGUUAAUAACCUUGCAGAUUGAUGGUACCACAAGAGGAAGAGACGGCUAACUCUGUGCCAGCAGCCGCGGUAAUAACAGAGGUCUCAAGCGUUGUUCGGAAUCACUGGGCGUAAAGGGUGGCUAAGGUGGGCGUGGUUAAGUCAAAAGGUGAAAAGCCCCGGGGGCCUCCACCCUCGGUAUUUGCAUCCGAUACUGCCGUGCUAGAGUACUGGAAGAAGGUGACUUAUAAUUCUCGGGUGGUAGCAGUUGAAAUGCGUAAAUUAUCGAGAAGGAAUACCAACGGCGAAGGCAGGUCACUGGGUCUAUUUACUGACACUGAGGCACGAAGGCCAGGGGAGCAAACGGGAUUAGAUACCCCCGGUAGUCCUGACAGUAAAGCGUGCACAUUUGUGUGGUGUGGGCGCAAUCGAACGCGUCCGCGCAGGAGCUUAACGCGUUAAAAUGGCCGUCUAGAGAAGUACGGUCGCAAGAUCACACUUCAAGUAACGAACGAGGCACCCGCCACAAG
rnacentral:rRNA from 1 species